UAUAUCUGUACCCGCCCCGAGCAUGCCGUUAGUGUAAGCUUGCAUCUGACCACAAUGCGUCGCUUCUGUUCAGUUGUUAUUUUCCAUGUGCUUUUGCAAUUCGCGAUAUGUAACUUUGUCACAAAGCGACUAACGAAGGACAUCGCGAUGCCAGGAGCCGAGCUGGGGGAGAACAUCGUUGUUGUUCCGCUCGAAAUUGCCAGUCAUGCACAACCAAAUGCUGCUACGAACGAAAAGUGCGCUAAAGUGGGCGAAUUCUGUGUCAAUCAUGAGGAUUGCUGUUCGAACGCAUGUUUGGGUUUCAUGAGAAGAUGCGUUUCUGGAAGAGAAGUUCUGGAAGACUUAUCAAUUCACCAGCUGAAUUAACAAUAGAUAUAAGUACUUAAAUUUUAAAAUGAUGUACUAUUUUAAAAGUAAUGUUCAUUGGUUCAGGAAAA